rnacentral:rRNA from 1 species
CCUACGGGUAGCAGCAGUGAGGAAUAUUGGUCAAUGGACGAGAGUCUGAACCAGCCAAGUAGCGUGAAGGAUGACUGCCCUAUGGGUUGUAAACUUCUUUUAUAUGGGAAUAAAAUGUUCCACGUGUGGGAUUUUGUAUGUACCAUAUGAAUAAGGAUCGGCUAACUCCGUGCCAGCAGCCGCGGUAAUACGGAGGAUCCGAGCGUUAUCCGGAUUUAUUGGGUUUAAAGGGAGCGUAGGUGGAUUGUUAAGUCAGUUGUGAAAGUUUGCGGCUCAACCGUAAAAUUGCAGUUGAAACUGGCAGUCUUGAGUACAGUAGAGGUGGGCGGAAUGCGUGGUGUAGCGGUGAAAUGCUUAGAUAUCACGAAGAACUCCGAUUGCGAAGGCAGUUCACUGGACUGCAACUGACACUGAGGCUUGAAAGUGUGGGUAUCAAACAGGAUUAGAUACCCUUGUAGUC